rnacentral:rRNA from 1 species
UUUGAAAAGAGAGUUAAAAAGUGCGUGAAACCGUUGGAAGGGAAGCGAAUGGAGUCGGCAAUUCCGUGCUUGGCUUCGAUCUUCAUAGAAGAGCCUCGUACGCUCGCCUUACAUGGGCGGUGCACUUCCGCAAGGCUAAAGUCAACGUCGGUUUGUGCGGAGUCUGAAAGCUGCUAGUUCGGUAGAUCUUUAGACUUUCGUGCAGUCCGCGCAGAUCGGGCGCAGCACGGGCCUAGAGGCUGCUGUCUUUAACGUUGAAUCGCUUUCGGUUGGCUGGACGGACGGCUUUGCCUGUGCUUUCCGGCUGUGGCGUUCAAACGGUAAGGCGAACAGACACACCGUGCUGAGGACGUUGACCGUCUCGCGACUCCAUCCGACCCGUCUUGAAACACGGACCAAGGAGUCUGACAUGUGCGCAAGUCUCAGAGCGAUCGAAACUCGUUGGGCGUAAUGAAAGUGAAUGCAGUUUCGGCUGCAAAGAUGAGAGGCGUAGCGGCAUCAUCGACCGACCUAUUCUACUCCUAGGAAGGUUUGAGUUAGAGCGUACCUGUCGGGACCCGAAAGAUGGUGAACUAUGCUUGAAUAGGGCGAAGCCAGCGG